rnacentral:rRNA from 1 species
UACGUAGGGGGCGAGCGUUGUCCGGAAUUAUUGGGCGUAAAGGGCGCGCAGGCGGUCUGUUAAGUCUGUGGUGAAAGACCGGGGCUCAACCCCGGAGCGUCCGCAGAGACUGGCAGACUGGAGUAUCGGAGAGGAGUGCGGAAUACCUGGUGUAGCGGUGGAAUGCGUAGAGAUCGGGAGGAAGGCCGGUGGCGAAGGCGGCGCUCUGGAACAUUUCUGACGCUGAGGCUCGAAAGCGUGGGGAGCAAACAGG